GAAGUUGGUCGGAUGGUCGCUGGGUGUUUGCACUCAGAGGAAAGUCCGGGCUCCAUAGAGCAAAGUGCUAGCUAACAGCUAGGUAUGGUGACAUAACGGAAAGUGCUGCAGAGAUUUAAACCGCCUAUUUCGAUAGGUAAGGGUGAGAAGGUGCGGUAAGAGCGCACCGCGCGUUUGGUGACAACCGUGGCAAGGUAAACCCCAC
rnacentral:RNase_P_RNA from 1 species